CUCUGCGCAGCCGAGCCUGCCAGUCCAGGCAGCACACUGCUCCGAGGGCCAGUGCCACCCGCCCUGCAGCCAGCACCGUGUGAGAGAUCGUGCACAUCCAGGCGGGCACAAACAGAUCGGUGCCAAGUUUUGGGAGGUCAUCAGCAAUGAGCAUGGGAUCCACCCCACAGGCAGUUACCAUGCAGACAGUGACUUGCAGCUGGAGAGAAUCAACAUGCACUACAAUGAGUCUGCUGGUAACAAAUAUGUACCUUGGGUCAUCCUGGUGGAUCUGGAGCCUGGCACCAUGGACUCCAUCAGGUCUGGACCCUUUGGCCAGAUCUUCAGGCCAGACAACUUCGUGUUCGGCCAGGGAAAAGCUGGGAAUAACUGGGCCAAGGGCCACUACACAGAGGGAGCUGAGCUGGUCGACUCAGUCCUGGACGUAGAGAGGAAGGAGUCAGAGAGCUGUGAUUGUCUCCAGGGCUUCCAGCUGACCCACUCUCUGUGGGGCAGCACAGGGUCUGGGAUGGGCACUCUGCUCAUCAAUCAGCAAGAUCCAGGAGGAGUACCCAGACCACAUCAUGGACACCUUCAGGGUCAUGCCCCAACCCAAGGUGUCAGGCACGGUGGUGGAGCCCUACAACGCCACCCUCUCCAUCCACCAGCUGGUGGAAAACACAGAUGAAACCUACCCCAUUGAUAAUGAGGCCCUGUAGGACAUCUGCUUGCGCACCCUGAAGCUGACCACCUCCACCUACAGGGACCUCAACCACCUGGUGUUGGCCACUAUGAGUGGGGUCACCACCUGCCUGUGCUUCCCAGGCCAGCUGAACGCAGACCUGCGCAAGCUGGCAUGAGCACGGUGCCCUUCCCGCACCUGCACUUCAUGCCAGCUCAGCACCCCUGACCAGCCGGGGCAGCCAGCAGUACCGCACGCUCACAGUGCCUGAGCUCACCCAGCAGAUGUUCGACUCCAAGAACAUGAUGGCCACCUGCGACCCAGGCCAUGGCCGCUACCUGACGGUAGCUGCCAUCUUCCGGGCCACAUGUCCAUGAAGGAGGUGGAUGAGCAAAUGCUCAACGUGCAGAACAAGAACAGCAGCCACUUCGUGGAGUGGAUCCCCAACAACGUGAAGACAGCUGUGUGUGACAUUCCGCCCCACAGCCCGAAGAUGUCAGCCACCUUCAUCUGCAACAGCACGGCCAUCCAGGAGCUGCUCAAGUGCACCUCAGAGCAGUUCACAGCCAUGUUCCGGUGCAAGGCCUUCCUGUCCUGGUUCACCGGCCAGGACAUGGACGAGAUGGAGUUCACCGAGGCCGAGAGCAACACGAAAGACCUGGUGUCUGAGUACCAGCAGGAUGCCACAACCAACAAACAAGGGGAGUUCCAGGAGGAGGAGGAGGGCGAGGACGAGGCUUAA